UUUUCCCCUCUCUACAAGGUCGACAACACACACAGAGGUCAGGAUACACAUUUUGACAAAAUCAUGGUAAUUUUAUCAAGACCCACCAACUCAUAUAACACACACAUACUUUCCACAAUCGACGUAAGAGCCUGAAAGCUCGACAUAUGAAGUCUAUUCACCUUUCCUACGUAGGAUUCAAUGAGGCCUAUGAGAUCACAACCUUCAAUCAUCUAUGGCAAUGCCAAUAUGCGCCAAUGUUUAUUUCCACAGAAAAAUGUCUGGCCAUUAAUCUCUUAUUUUCAUCAAAUGCAAAGCCUAGUUCAACUAGACCCAUUUUCCUUUGAAGAACAUCCAACAAUUGAUGAACUUGUUCUUUAUGCUUGAUAACGAACAACUCCAAGAAGUGCUUGUUGGAAGGUAGUAAUACCGAAAGUAAACUGAUUUUUUUCCUUGAUCAAACCCUUUAGA
rnacentral:misc_RNA from 1 species